ACGUGCCUGCACAUAGAAAUUUAGAUAUUUCAUGAUCAAUUUCCAUGCAUUCACAAUAUCGAUUGAAUAAUAAGUUGUCAUUAUUAGAUCAAAAUUCUUUUUUUUAUUGAACGACAUUGGCUUAUGAAGGUCCCUGCGUGAGUGUGUAUAAUUAUAUCAGUGUGAUAAACAGAUAACCGGUGAACAAAGGAUUCUAAAGGUAAAACAAAAAUCGUUUAAUAAAACUUCCCGACUACCAGACGUAAGCAUAUACGCAGCUAGGGACUUUAAAUUGAAAUAUAGAUUAAUACGGUCAAUAAAAAGGACUGGGAGAGAAUGCAGGAAGUUUAAGGACCGAAUACACACGUAUCUUAUUCUUUGCAGUGAUUUUAUAUAGAUAGUUUUAAAUUCUUUGAAUUUUAAAACUUUAAUGUAACAUAUGUGCAAUAAAUGUAAAAUGGAGUACACUGUUCGCUGUCAGUGAAGUAUAUCUUCAAUUCAUUUUCAACGACACCACAUAUACUUUUCACAUUAUGUGGGCGAAAAUUUAGGAAAUAGAUCCUCGGCAUAUUUUAAGCAAAAGAGAAGCGAGAUGGUUUUUAGAACAUUCGAGACGAAAAAAACACACGGGAGCGGUGAACGUUGAUUAUUUGCUGAAUAUAUAAACACUCAAACAAGGUUUAACAAGAAGAUGGAUUAAGUAAAAACGUGGGAGAAAUCAUGUAUUACAGCUUUUGAAGCGUCUAGCGCCGCCCAUGCAUCUCUUACUCUGAUAUUGUAUUUUGCUGUUUUUGAACUGACGAACUAGACUUGAAACAGUUCGAAACUGAAAACCUAGAGGACCAGUUUACAACUUAAGGAGCACGAAAAUAAGAAUCUUCUGCAGAUGUCAUAUCCUCUAAAACGAUUCACAGAACUUGAGAACUCCAACGCCGCUGAUUAAACAUAUAAAACAUAUUCAGAAAUAUUCAACAGCAACCCCAAUUUCUCAGGCCUUAAGUUUCUCUGCCAGAAAGGCCCGAGAAGUUGCGAUGUGAUUCAGCAGUUUAGUUGCAAUCGCCAUCCACCAAUAUAUGGGAAAACUCAAAUGUAGGAAUUGAAAAAAUAAUACGCAGCGGUCAAUUUUCUUCCGUGUUGAAGUACACAUGUAAGAAAAAAAACAUUCUAAAAAUUACUAAAAUGAUAUUCGUGUACUCGUUCGCUGGUCUGUGACGUUUGUGAGCUUUACGUCUGAACUGUACGUAGACUCUUUGCGGUUGAAUAAUGGCAGGGUUAAAAGGACUCGGUGCAAACUUAAAAUUGUGAAUGAUCUCUACCUUGAAAUGAGAAUUAACACAGUCGGCAAUUCUUUUUUAAACAAUUUCUGAUUUUGGUUUAGUUUUUCACAUAAUUAUCAUCAAAAUUGAAUGUUGAGUGAAUUCGAAUUGAGGGCAACAUUGAUUAAGUUCCGCUUUGUGACAGGGGUUCACAUUAUCUCUGUUACCUUGAACCCCAGUCAUCAUUUGUAAAUUAUAACCCUUUCUAAUUACGUAUACAUUGAUAUUGAUAUUGAAAACCUUACUAUUUUGAAUACUCAAAAUUGAUUUUGUACACUUUGUAUGUCUGACUGUAUUUAAUUCACUUGUAUUAUAUAACUUUUGAGAUAUUUGUCUUUGGAAUAAAAAAAAUUGAACUUGAACAUCCAUUGUAUGCACCCGCCUGCGACAUGCCGAUAUACUAGUAUUCCUUCACCAGAUGUCUGGGGUCAAUCAUCUGAUACGCUUCGUAAUUAAACAGCACACUGACUUUCAGCUCCAGUGUCUAGUGUGCACCGCAUCCAUGGCCAUGUCAUUCACAUCAACGCAAACAGCAAACCCGCAGUUCACUGUAAAUUCAAAGCUGGUCCAAGUGAGCUUUUCUAUUAAAAAUUUGUCCGUUGUCUGAUGCAGUCAUUAUCGUCGUUAACUUUUCACGUUUUCAUCUUAUUCUCACAUGAUGUCAAGAACUAUUGGGCCGAUCGAUUUCAACCAAACUUGGCAC